rnacentral:rRNA from 1 species
UGGGUAGGGGAGCGUUCUGUAAGCCUGUGAAGGUGUGUCGUGAGGCAUGCUGGAGGUAUCAGAAGUGCGAAUGCUGACAUAAGUAACGAUAAAGCGGGUGAAAAGCCCGCUCGCCGGAAGACCAAGGGUUCCUGUCCAACGUUAAUCGGGGCAGGGUGAGUCGACCCCUAAGGCGAGGCCGAAAGGCGUAGUCGAUGGGAAACGGGUUAAUAUUCCCGUACUUGGUGUUACUGCGAAGGGGGGACGGAGAAGGCUAUGUUGGCCGGGCGACGGUUGUCCCGGUUUAAGCGUGUAGGUGUGUGUUCCAGGUAAAUCCGGUUCACUUUAACACUGAGGCGUGACGACGAGGCACUACGGUGCUGAAGCAACAAAUGCCCUGCUUCCAGGAAAAGCCUCUAAGCAUCAGGUAACAUCAAAUCGUACCCCAAACCGACACAGGUGGUCAGGUAGAGAAUACCAAGGCGCUUGAGAGAACUCGGGUGAAGGAACUAGGCAAAAUGGUGCCGUAACUUCGGGAGAAGGCACGCUGACACGUAGGUGAAGUGAUUUACUCAUGGAGCUGAAGUCAGUCGAAGAUACCAGCUGGCUGCAACUGUUUAUUAAAAACACAGCACUGUGCAAACACGAAAGUGGACGUAUACGGUGUGACGCCUGCCCGGUGCCGGAAGGUUAAUUGAUGGGGUCAGCGCAAGCGAAGCUCCUGAUCGAAGCCCCGGUAAACGGCGGCCGUAACUAUAACGGUCCUAAGGUAGCGAAAUUCCUUGUCGGGUAAGUUCCGACCUGCACGAAUGGCGUAAUGAUGGCCAGGCUGUCUCCACCCGAGACUCAGUGAAAUUGAACUCGCUGUGAAGAUGCAGUGUACCCGCGGCAAGACGGAAAGACCCCGUGAACCUUUACUAUAGCUUGACACUGAACAUUGAGCCUUGAUGUGUAGGAUAGGUGGGAGGCUUUGAAGUGUGGACGCCAGUCUGCAUGGAGCCGACCUUGAAAUACCACCCUUUAAUGUUUGAUGUUCUAACGUGGACCCGUUACCCGGGUUGCGGACAGUGUCUGGUGGGUAGUUUGACUGGGGCGGUCUCCUCCUAAAGAGUAACGGAGGAGCACGAAGGUUGGCUAAUCCUGGUCGGACAUCAGGAGGUUAGUGCAAUGGCAUAAGCCAGCUUGACUGCGAGCGUGACGGCGCGAGCAGGUGCGAAAGCAGGUCAUAGUGAUCCGGUGGUUCUGAAUGGAAGGGCCAUCGCUCAACGGAUAAAAGGUACUCCGGGGAUAACAGGCUGAUACCGCCCAAGAGUUCAUAUCGACGGCGGUGUUUGGCACCUCGAUGUCGGCUCAUCACAUCCUGGGGCUGAAGUAGGUCCCAAGGGUAUGGCUGUUCGCCAUUUAAAGUGGUACGCGAGCUGGGUUUAGAACGUCGUGAGACAGUUCGGUCCCUAUCUGCCGUGGGCGCUGGAGAACUGAGGGGGGCUGCUCCUAGUACGAGAGGACCGGAGUGGACGCAUCACUGGUGUUCGGGUUGUCAUGCCAAUGGCACUGCCCGGUAGCUAAAUGCGGAAGAGAUAAGUGCUGAAAGCAUCUAAGCACGAAACUUGCCCCGA